rnacentral:rRNA from 1 species
AACGAACGCUGGCGGCAUGCCUAACACAUGCAAGUCGAACGAGACCUUCGGGUCUAGUGGCGCACGGGUGCGUAACGCGUGGGAACCUGCCCUUAGGUUCGGAAUAACUCCCCGAAAGGGGUGCUAAUACCGGAUAAUGUCUUCGGACCAAAGAUUUAUCGCCUUUGGAUGGGCCCGCGUUGGAUUAGCUAGUUGGUAGGGUAAAAGCCUACCAAGGCGACGAUCCAUAGCUGGUCUGAGAGGAUGAUCAGCCACACUGGGACUGAGACACGGCCCAGACUCCUACGGGAAGCAGCAGUGGGGAAUAUUGGACAAUGGGCGAAAGCCUGAUCCAGCAAUGCCGCGUGAGUGAUGAAGGCCUUAGGGUUGUAAAGCUCUUUUACCCGGGAUGAUAAUGACAGUACCGGGAGAAUAAUCUCCGGCUAACUCCGUG